CAGGGUGGCCAACUUUGUCGAGUUUGCCUAGGAUUUUCCUGGAGUAGGCACCAAAAGUCCUGGGCAAACCGGUGGAGUUGGUCACCCUAAAAAGCC
rnacentral:miRNA from 1 species